AGUUAGCACACGUUUAAUUCCCAUUAUUCCUCGUCCUUGGACAGAUAAUUUACUGAGUGUAUCUUCCCAGGGCGGGGUGGGUGCUGAGAUCAAAGGGUGCUGGGAGUUGUAGAGGUGCAUUAGAGCCUAUGGCUGCAAGGUACAGUAAUAUAAUUUCUCCCAAGGUCUGAAGGGAAAAUAACUGACCAACCGCAACCUGUACUUAUUGUAGGGAACAGGAUUUCACCAACACUAAUACAGGGAGAUUGUUGUGUAGCCCCCUGUGCUCAGCUAUUAAGGGACUCCAACUCCCAUUACGCCCCUGGGGGUGGUCAAAGGGCGCCUCUGGGGGUAAGAAUUAACAUAGUGCUUUGUGAUCACUGUAAUAAUUAUAUUUUUUAUACCUCUUAAAGUCUGGUCGGGUACCCACAAAAUGCCUGCAAAGCCUAUGUGCAUAGGGUGCAACAGACUGGGCUGCGGGUAGGUACAUACAGCCUAUCCCUAGUUCAGCCAGGCCCGGAUUGUCAAUCUGUGGGUUUAGGCAAAUGCCAGAGGGGCUGCUGUAAGAUGCCAUAGACAGUCACUAUUGGGCUGUUUGGGCCUCUGUGUACUUGGAAUGACAGGGCCUAUUUUGACUUCCAGACAGUGGGGCCCCACACACUACAUCGCUGCUCCCACUCGUUAACCCACUACCCUACAGAUACCUAACUGAGGUGGGGUGACUGGGGGUAUGGGCUUGCUUAGGGCACCCCUUAGCUUUGGCACUGCCACUGGACCUUCUGCUACUACCUAAUCAGACACAGUGUUUCCCAACCCAUCCCCUAUGCAGACCUCCCCGUUGCUGGAUCUAGGGGGGGUUUCUAGCACCAGAGAGGGCAAUUGUGCUCUCUGAUUAAACAACUGAAUUUCUGGCUCUCACCUUUGCUUAUUACAGAAGCAUCCCUGGGUUGCAGAAAAGCCCAGGGGUAAACUGUUCCUGGAAAUCAUUAUCUUAUAUUGGCAACUAUGGAGCAGCACUAUUAAUACUUUGUAUAAGAAGGAAAAAAAGAAACUUAUCUCUACAUUUUAGCAUCCAAGACAGCAGGCGUUCCUACUAAAAGGCCUUGCUUGGAACAGCAGAGGACGCUCCUGCUAAUAUCAUGAAAUCUAAAAAGAAAUAUAAUAAUAAUUUAACUUCCAAAAGUUCUCAAAGCACAGGAAAAGGUGGCGUGUCUGUGUCUAUUACCUGCUUUGAUCACACUUCUGGGUUACAUUCAUUUAUUCAUGAACUCCUGGGGAGGAGAUCUGAAAGGCAGAACCCACGACAGCUACUGUCUCCGCUGAAAAGGCUUCAUCUCUGCCUGGGAUUUGUCUGUCUGUCUCAUAUCUAUCUGUGUUCUGCUUAGCUUAGUAAGUGUGUUCUAGUCCCACCCCAUCUUUUUAAAUAGCGUAAUAAAUAAAAAUAUG